GGAAAGAUGCUCGAGUGGUUGAAGAGGCACGCCUGGAAAGCGUGUAAACGACAAAAUCGUUUCGGGGGUUCGAAUCCCCCUCUUUCCG
rnacentral:tRNA from 1 species